CGCAGGUUUCGGACUGCCUGUUGUUUCGCGCGCGGGUACCAUGCGCAAUUGCGCAGAAACCACGCGACAAAGAAGGGCAUGACAACUGCUUUGUUAAUUGGAAUAGGCUUCUCGCUAUGUGUGCAGCGAGGGUGGUGAAAAGACUGAGAUAUAAGAUGACACGUGUCACUGAAUGGCACAAGCUCCAGCACCACCCAUCUCCAAUGAUCACCUGAGACAAGAAAACACUAAAAGAUCCAAACGAAGAGGAUGAAUGUACAACGCACUUUCAUCCCCCCAUUCUGUACAAGAGGGCAACAGGGUCUGGAGAAGAGAGGCUAUUACCUGUACGUGGUGCAUCCGACAUCACGGACACCGAUGUUCUUCUUCCAUUCAUCUGGAGUGGCUCACUUUCCAUAGCAAUUACUGGCCGUGAGAUCAAAACUGGACCAUCAGGGGGAAUUGCGUGUCCUCUGGCAGACUGUUGCAUGCGUGUGAAUAGACUGGCCGAUGGUACUUGGCCAUUGAGUGCACUGGCAGAGUGACUCGCAGAGGAAAUUGGUAAACUGACCGACUGAUUACACAUGAAAAAACUGUGGCCGACUGUUACGAACAUCCAUAAGCUUUAAGGUCAUGUAAAUUUGACAAUAAUAGUACAGUAUUAUUCAGGUGCUAUAAAUUUUACUUUAUUAUAUCCUGUAUACAGGCUAGUAUGUAGUAUAUUGUAUUUAGUAAACUCAUUGUGUCUGUUUGUGGUGGUCCACUCUGGAGCUGGUGCAGCAGGCCCUGUCAUCUGCAGGCCAUCUCACAAUGAAGGCCAGCAGAGCUCACUGUCAUAUUACUCCAAGACAUAGGUAAUCAUUAGCCUUGUGACACAUUCAGCUGUUUCCUCUGCUACAAUUAAAGGGAUACUCCACCCCAAAAUGAAAAUUUUGUCAUUAAUCACUUACCCCAUGUCAUUCCA